ACGACUCUCGACAACGGAUAUCUCGGCUCUCGCAUCGAUGAAGAACGUAGCGAAGUGCGAUACUUGGUGUGAAUUGCAGAAUCCCGUGAACCAUCGAGUCUUUGAACGCAAGUUGCGCCCGAAGCCAAUAGGCCGAGGGCACGUCGUCCUGGGUGUCACA
rnacentral:rRNA from 1 species